rnacentral:rRNA from 1 species
CCUACGGGGCGCAGCAGUGGGGAAUAUUGCGCAAUGGGGGAAACCCUGACGCAGCAACGCCGCGUGAGUGAGGAAGUAUCUCGGUAUGUAAAGCUCUAUCAGCGGGGAAGAAAGAGGACGGUACCUGACUAAGAAGCCCCGGCUAACUACGUGCCAGCAGCCGCGGUAAUACGUAGGGGGCAAGCGUUAUCCGGAUUUACUGGGUGUAAAGGGUGCGUAGGUGGCAGGGCAAGUCAGAUGUGAAAGCCCGGGGCUCAACCCCGGUACUGCAUUUGAAACUGUCCAGCUGGAGUGCAGGAGAGGUA